CGCUCUAUAGGGAAAAUGACUCCGUUCUGUCUCCAUUAGCUAAUCAGGCUUGCAUAGGAAGGGGAAGGAAGAGAUUUUCUUGCUUCAAUCUCACGUCCUUUAUAUAUGCUAACCCACCCUAUUCCCUGCAUACUGAUGACACGCGUUGGCUAACAACACGUCUUUCAGCAGCUCACUAAAGGAUGGGCUAUUCAUCUCAGUCCUCAUGCUUCUGUCUUCAUAUCCCGCCA
rnacentral:lncRNA from 1 species